GAAAUAUCAACAAAAAAGCCCCGUAGGGUUCAAAUAGCUGGCACUAGUCCCAAAUAUGACAUUCAGCCCAAAUAAUGAUGGUAGCAAAUAGUUUUCAAUCAAAUACACGGUAAAAUCAUAAAUCGGGACGGACCAAGUGACAAUCCCCAAUAGUGCAUGACCCCACACUCGUCAUCAAGCAUGUGCCUCACCUCAAUAUAGCACCACGAUGUGCAAUCCGGGGUUUCAAACCCUCAGACCAUCAUUUACAAUCAUUACUCAGUUCGAACCAGCUAAAUCUCUAGCUCGCGACUCCUUUGCACCUCGAAUCGGCCUCCACGCGCGUCGAUCUAUACAAAAUCAGAACGUGGACGUCAAAAUAUGCUAAGGGAACAAAGCCCAAGUGAAAACAAUCAAAUAUGACACAAUUCCCGAAAUUACCAAAAUCUGAGCCCCGAGCCCACGUCUUAGAAUCAGGUAGAAUUUAUAUUUUCAAAAUUCUCAUACCCUCACGAGUCUAACCAUACCAAAAUUAUCCAAUUUCGGUACCAUUUGGUCCUUCAAAUCAUCAUUUUAUAUUUUUGAAAGAUUCCACAAAUUUUCUUCGCAAAUUACAUCCCAAAUCACGAAUUAAAUGAUAGAUUCAUGAACUCUAGCCAAAUCUGAGUUACAAUCACUUACCCCAAUGAAUUUCUUGAAAAACCUUCGAAAAAUCGCCAAAAUCCGAGCUCUCUAGGUCAAAAUAUUAAAUAAAACCCAAAACCUCGUAUUUAUAGAGUACCCCACAUAUUUCCACCUCUGCGGACCGCACAAAAACGACCGCGGUCCACACAAAAAUGAUUGUGGCCGCAUAUAUUUUCAUCUGCAGUGACAGGCUUUAGUAUUUUGGCCAUAACUUUCGCUACAGAUGCCCAUAUUGCAAUAUCAUUAUUUUUCUGGAAACUAGACACGAAGGGCUACAACGUUUGUUUUAAAUCAUCUCAAAAUUCCUUGUAGAUCAAAAGAUAUGAGCUUCCGAAGUAGGACCAGUGAAAUGUUCCCCCAUCGCGGCCGCACUGCAUUUUGUGCGGUCCGCACAACACCUACCGCGGACGAACUUCUUUUUGUGCAGACCGCGCUGGUAGGUUCUGAGGCCUGCAACCCUUUUGGACCUGCUACAACUAUGAUUUUCGGCCUAAAAUAUCCCGGAACCUACCCGGAAACCCCGGAACUUCAAACCAAUUGUACCAACACAUCCCAUGACAUCGUUCAAACUUUUUCAAAACUUCGAAACGCUCAUAACAACAUCAAAUUACCUAUUUAACAUAGGAUUUAAGCCUAAAAACACCACGAACUCUUAAAUUAUGCUUUCGAUCAAAAAGUCUAUCAAAUCUCGUCCGAACGACUUGAAAUUUUGCACACACAUCCCAAAUGACACAACAAAGCUAUUUCAACUCUCGGAAUUUCAUUCCGACCCCUAUAUCAAAAUCUCGCCUAUCAACGGGAAAACGCCAAAAAUUCAAUUUCUCCAAUUCAAGCCUAAACCUUUCACGAACCUCCAAAAUGCAUUCUAAUCACGCUCGUAAGUCCCAAAUCACCUAACAGAGCUAACCCAACCAUAAAAAGUUCGAUCCGAGAUCAUAUACAAAUAAGUCAAAUCUUAGUCAAACCUUUCGAAUUUCAAGCUUCAACUAAGAACUGUUUUCUUCCGAAUUUAUUCUGAUUACCCUGAAAACCAAAACCAACGAUUUAUAUAAGUCAUAAUACAUCACACGGGGCAAGUCAUGCCCGAAAACUGGCGAUCAAUGUGCAAAAGCUCAAAACGACCGGUUAGGUCGUUACAACAAAAAUCGAAAAUCUUGAAGAAAAUUAUGAAGACCACAAUUUUAGAAGGGGAAAGAACAUAGUAAUGGUUAACAUACAACACAAACUAAUUAGAGAAUAUUGGAACUAGAACACAAACUUGGAGUUGUAUGGCCAAACAUUAUAUAGACUAACCAGCUCUAGGCUAUCAAAAACCAAAGUUUUUUUCAGUGAAGCUCAAGUGGACUCCAUAUAAUCCCAGCUUCAUGUUGUAUUUUUUAUUCUAUGUUUCUCUCAAGGAUCUAGUUACUUAAAAUUCCUAUCUCUUAAAUUGCACUCUGCUUUUACAAUAAAAUGCGAGUAUAGCUACAGUUUUCAUUAACACGUUUAUUAUAUUUGUAGGAAAAAAAUUGGGGAGGAAGAUGAGUCAUGAUGAGUUCUUCAUGGGACUCACAUCCGGAAGAAAAAGGCACCGGCAGAUCCAACUAGAUGGGUCGAGGAUCGAGCAGAGACUACACAUGUACGUUUCAUAACUACUAUAAAUAUUUCUAAUAUUAUAUAGUUAGUAUUUUUUUAUCUUCUAAAUAAAAAGUCGCUACAAGAUCAAUUUGGAGGGGUAUACUCAGAGAUUGCUACUGAAUGAGCAAGGCGAGCGACCGCCCAUUUCAGACGAAGAAGAGAAGGGGAUAUGGUUGAGUAUUGUCAGUGGUCCUAAAAAGGGGAUAACAUACGGCCUUUUAGAUAAAUCGUUUCGGUGCUACAUGGCUGGAUUGCAAGGUAUAGGGACUUCCGCCCAAGGAGAGGCGAUUGAUAGUUCAGCUAUAUCGUCUAUGGAAGAGAAGAUCGCAAAACUGACAGUAGAGCUUGAAGAGACCAAGGCUAGAGAAAAGAAGAAUUUUGAUACCCUUCAAGGUGAGCUAGAAAGGAGGGACAAACAAUUUGAUCUCCUUCAAGGUCAGCUGGCCAAUCUUCUUGCUUGUGGUGCUUUCCCUAUUCCCCGGUCUCCUCAUCCUUCCCCACCUGUCGGUGAUGAAGGUCCUAGGACCGAAAAUGAAGAUGAUGCUACAUAAAAAAACACAUUGCAUGUUGUGUAUUGUUAAACAAAGUUGUGAACUUAUCAAUAUUUUGUUGUUGGUUAUUUGAAUGAUGAUUAUAUUGUUAUUAAACACUUUAGUAGUUGUUGUUGUGGUUAUUAGUUGUUGUGGUUGUGGUUAUUAGUUAUUGGUUAAUUGUUGUUGUUGGUGGUUAUUAGUUGUUAUUUUGUUGAGUUUUCAUGGUUGAAUGGCAGUAAUGUAAGCUGCCAUUAUAGGAUGUAUAUUGGUUUAAAUUGGCAGGUAGUGUAGCUUAAAAGCAUCCAUUUUCUGCCCAGUUUUUACCCAGAUUUGCGACCGAAUUAGGUCGGAAAUAAAAAAAAUUCCCAAAAAUUCAUAAUUUCCUACCUAAUUCGGUCGGAAAUUUAAAAUAAAUUCCCUAGAUUAUUGAAAUUUCCAAUCGAAUUCGUUCGGAAAUUAUAAAUUUAUAUUUAUUUUUUAAAUAAAUUAACAAUUUACAAAUAAUUAUUUAAUUAAAUAAUAUUAUUAUUUUUUAAAGGUUUCGACCAAAUUCGGUCCGAAAACUAAAAUUAAAAAUAAAUAAAUAAUAAUAUUUUCCGACCGAUUUCGGUAAGAAAUUUGAAUUUUAAAAAAAAUAUUAAUAAUUUCCGACCGAUUUCGGUCGGAAAAUAAAGUUUGACUGCCAGUCAGUGCAUUGGAUUUUAUCGAUCGAUUGCAAUCGAAAAUUUUCGACCAAUUGCGGUUCGGUCUACGUUUGCGACCAUUGUUUUUCUACCCAAAUAAAAACGGUCGGAAAUCACCUGACUUUUAGUUGUGACAAUAUCAAACAAACUCUCACAAGAAAAAAAAUAACCUGCAUUAUUGAAAUUUUUUGUAGGUGUAGAACGAAUGUCAUUAGCACAACAUAAAACAAUUCUCUCAUCAAUUCAAUAAUAUAAUUCUGCCCAGUCUUUGAUUACUAAAGUUGGCGUGGCUUUUAGUAACUAAAUAACCAAGAUUAAGAUGUAUCAUGAAAGAAUUUUUUUAGUGUUAUCUGAUAGGUGCCCUAUUUCAAUCUUUAUGUCAAAACUAUUUUCAUGUACUACAAAUUAUCUCUCCCUUAUAACAAAAGGAAUCAUUAAUUACAUAGACAAAAGAUAAUAAACUUUAAAUAGAAGCUAAUUCAUCUGACAAGUUAUACGAUUUCCUAGCAUUUUUUGAGUCAAAUAAAGAAAAUGAACUAAUACAUUAUAUUUUCAAGCUUCAAUUUGACAGGUCUUAGGUGCUUCUUGAAUUCAAGUAAAAGCUAGUGGAAAUUAUUUCAAGCUUUAUAUUCAUAUUAUUCUUUAUAUUAAACAUGUGACCUUUUACCUAUAACAAUUUCAUCGAAGCUGUCUGCAUCCAUGUAAUUCAUUAAAUUUUACGAAGGUAAACUGAAAUCUCUAGAGCUCUUGCUCAAUUCUUGAAUCAAUAAAAAAAAUUUAAGAGAAAAUGAUUUGUUUAUGUGGAUAUAUCUUUGACAGAUAUUAUAAAAUGAUUAUUCCUUUUGUGCAUUAAAUAUACGUAUAUAAGUAUAUUUAUUUCUAUUAUAAGAGACUCAAAUUUAAUACUUUGCAAUUAUAUUCUUACUUAAAGAAUGUAAAAAAAAUAUAUACACAGAGAUAUGAAGCAGUAAUUGCACCAACCAAAGGUCACUCUUUUAUUGAAUUCAGAUAAAAUCGCAAACCUGGAAAGAGAAUAUCCCCAAAGCCAAUCAUGACAUAGCCAUAAUAAGGAUUAGAAGAUUAGAUAUAUAGUCGAGAACUCUUAGAAGCUACAAAAAUUUUAAAAAAAGAACUGAGUCAUAUUUCACCCCAUACAGUUUAAAGGAAAAGAUAUAUAGUAAAACUAUUUAAGAAAUAAAAGUUUAUCGCAAAGAACAAUCAGAAGGGAACAUAAACAAAAUCCUAGAAUAUUGGAUACAGUGAUACAAGGAAUACCAACCAAAAAAAUCUCAAAAAUAAGGAAGAGAUAAUCAAAUCACAAAAUCAAAGAGAGGCGAUUUACCUCUAGCAGUAGUCGAAAUAAGAGAAAACAGAAACUGAAGGGAAAAAUUAAAAUACUGAAGAGCAAAGGAAGAAUUUUACCUUGGGCGAGGGGAGGAAGAAA
rnacentral:lncRNA from 1 species